GUGGGGAAUUUUGGACAAUGGGCGCAAGCCUGAUCCAGCAAUGCCGCGUGCAGGAAGAAGGCCUUCGGGUUGUAAACUGCUUUUGUACGGAACGAAACAGUCCUGGCUAAUACCUGGGGCUAAUGACGGUACCGUAAGAAUAAGCACCGGCUAACUACGUGCCAGCAGCCGCGGUAAUACGUAGGGUGCGAGCGUUAAUCGGAAUUACUGGGCGUAAAGCGUGCGCAGGCGGUGCUGUAAGACAGGCGUGAAAUCCCCGGGCUCAACCUGGGAAUUGCGCUUGUGACUGCAGUGCUGGAGUGCGGCAGAGGGGGAUGGAAUUCCGCGUGUAGCAGUGAAAUGCGUAGAUAUGCGGAGGAACACCGAUGGCGAAGGCAAUCCCCUGGGCCUGCACUGACGCUCAUGCACGAAAGCGUGGGGAGCAAACAGGAUUAGAUACCCUUGUAGUCC
rnacentral:rRNA from 1 species